rnacentral:rRNA from 1 species
AUGAUGAUUGCACUAGUUAUGAUGAAAAUGUCUCCUAUAAGCAUGUCGAUUUUUGUGGAGUGCAUUGGGUUUGCAAGUACACCAAAUAGGGAAGAUAGAUAUUGCAAGAGGCAUAAGCAUUUAGAAACUAAAUUGUUGCAAGAAAGGCUUGAUGUUUGUGCUGAAAAACUCAAUAUUUUUCGCCAUCCUUGUGAACUUUGCAAUGAACAUGGUCAUUUGAAUCUCCAAUGCAAAUUGUUUCAUGAUCGAAUGGUGUCCAAAAAUUGUGAUGACUUGAUUUCCCUUGCCCAUCAUAAUGAACUUAGUUUGCUUUUGGGUUAUGAAGAAUUGAAAUGUGCAACUAAGAUUAUUCCAGAAUUUGCCCUUAAUAGAUUUCUUGAUUUUGAUCUAGAAAAGAUUUAUAUGUAUUGUGCGGUGAAUUGCAUUGAAAAUCCUUAUAUUGCCAAUUACCUAAAGAAAAGAAAGCAAAUAGAAGAUGAAGAGAAUACUAAUGAAAGGGAAGAGACUUCCCAAUAUCCUCCUAUUGUUUCUUAUGAUGAAUCAGGUAACGAGGAGGAGGUUUCUAUUCAACCAAUCUCAUCAAUAAGGAGCUCAGAGAAGAAGGUUGAACCCACACAUAAUGUGAAAAAAAGGAGAAGCAAAGGUAAAAAGGUAUCCCUCCAAAAUGAUGUUGCUCCUACUACUCAUUGUGAUGAGGAUAAUUGCUAUACUAUUGAUGCUAUCCAUACUAUUAAUGAUGAGAGUGAUUAUGCUUAUGAUAUGACAAGGCCCAAGCUUGGGGAAGCUAUGUUUGAUGAGGAUGAAAUAUUUGAGAACAUAUUUGCUGAAAUUAAUGUUUGUCCCAAGCUUGGGGAUGCUAUGUUUAAUGAAGAUGAUAUUUUUAGCCUCCCAAGUUUUGAUAUGCAAAGUUGUUAUGAUGAUAGCAUGUCUCUUACCUAUGAUGAUUAUAUUGAUGAAAGUGGGUUUGGAAGAGUGUCAACUUUAGGAAGUAAUGAUCCCACUAUUUUGGAGGAUGUUGAAUCUUAUUGUGAUGAAUAUGAAAGUGGAUUUGGAGAGGUCAUGACUUUAUUUAGUGAUGAUUCCACUAUCUUGGAAGAGGUUUCAAUCGAUUAUGAUGAGAACAAAGUUGCUACUUAUGAUGAUUAUUGUGAUGAAACUUAUGCUAUAAAAAGUAGUAUGAUUAUAUUUAUAAAACUUGUCAUGAUUAUGAUUACCCUUUUUCUGAACAUUACUCUUCUAAUGUGGAAGCAAUUUUUAGUAUUCGAGUCUCUUAUGAUACUCCCACUAUUCCGAAUAAGAAGAAUUUUGCUUGUGUGGAGAGUAGUAAAUUUUCUAUGCUUGUAG